UACAGCUUUGGAAAUUUGAAGGGACA
rnacentral:piRNA from 1 species